rnacentral:rRNA from 1 species
UACGGAGGUCUCAAGCGUUGUUCGGAUUCAUUGGGCGUAAAGGGUGCGUAGGUGGCGCCGUAAGUCAGGUGUGAAAUUUCGGAGCUUAACUCCGAAACUGCAUUUGAUACUGCGGUGCUUGAGGACUGGAGAGGAGACUGGAAUUUACGGUGUAGCAGUGAAAUGCGUAGAGAUCGUAAGGAAGACCAGUGGCGAAGGCGGGUCUCUGGACAGUUCCUGACACUGAGGCACGAAGGCCAGGGGAGCAAACGGG